CCUCUGCACAGUUAGCAAUGACUCUGAGGGAUGCGGAUUGUGUUGUCUCCUUAGUAUUCCACCUCUUACUGACCACAAACUCUUUGUAAAGAUAACUUAACCUAAAUCCUUCACGACACAGUGUAAAUCCAGUCCCUCUUACAUUGUCUUUCCUUUGGUAGUCUUUGUUUUAGCUGCGCACUGAAAACUUUUCAUAUAUUUAGAGACUAUCAAAUGGCCGAGUUUUUGUCUUCUCUUCUUCCUGCCAGUGCCCCCAGGAUAAAAUCCAUUCCUUUUAACAUACCCCACAUCUUGGAAUGUUAUCUUGUGGCUCAUGUACCAAACCUUUUUCAUUCUCUGUGGUGAUAUUAUUAUGCCAAGAACUGGACAUUGUAUUUCGAUGGUAUUUGCAUAUUACAAAGUGCAUUCAGAUGUAUAAUCAGUUUGCAUCUCAAAACAUCUUGUGAGGCCAGUGUGUUCUUACUAUGCCCAUUUUGCAGAUAAGGGACAGCGAGCCUCAGCAAGGAAAUAUGUGGCUCAUAAUCACAUAGCCAGGAAUUGAUAAGCCUCUUCUAGCUUAUUAGACUGCCUGUUGCUCUGCCGUGAGCUUGGCAGGGGAACCUGUAACAGUUCCGAUAAGCUGUAUUGCAUGUGUUUGGUGAAAUACUGGGCUUGCCUUGGGGGAAGAAUAUUCUGUCCUUCAUUGUUUAUCUGUUGCUUCGACUUCAACUCAAAGUUGUUUGUACAUGGGACCAGUGUGAAGGGGGUCCUCAGUCCACUAUUUAAAUAUUGUCACUGUUCUGCAGCCCCAGCAAACAGGGUAUGUGUUAGGAGAAGAACUGGAGGAGAGUGUGGUUAAAUUAGCAAAACCCCAUCACCAGCAGGAGAAAAGGCCUGUGCUUUGCAGGGAGGAGGAUGCGUGGGGUAUCAUCUUUCUGUACGAAGCGCAGAAUCACCUGCAUAUCUUUUCCGUGUUGCUCAUAGCCAGCCCAUCCCCAUGUUUUAUUUCGUGCUAUUUGUUUUCACUUUUAGAGGCCACAUAUGCGGCGUAUGGAGGUUCCCAGGAUAGGGGGCGAAUCGGAGCUGUAGCCGUCGGCCUACACCACAGCCACAGCAAUGCCGGAUCCUUAACCCACUGAGCGAGGCCAGGGAUCGAACCUGUGUCCUCAUGGAUACUAGUUAGGUUCAUUACUGGUGAGCCACAAUGGCUGUUCAUUACUGCUGUUUUCCUCUUCUGAUGCACUCAAUAUAUAGCUUAUUUGCCCAGAUUAUGUCGAUUUUGGAGUCUGUCUUUGAAGAUAUUCUCUGCUGUCUCCUUUCCUCAUCAUUAUUUGGUGUUAACACAACAUUCUUCUCUGAGUCAUUAAUGACAAUAUUAAGCAGCAGAAACAAAGGCUCUCUCCUUCGUAGCAAUACAUUGUUUUCAACUGAGCACAAAGAGAACAUAGGGGCACUGCUAUGGAAAUAUGAGAAAGCAAUCAUUACUGCACUUUGGGGGUGGAUAUUUUCCAAAUUAUUUACCAAAUAAGUUUGGGGACCAAAAUUAUAGCUCUGGUAGCAUCAUUAGCACUUUAGAUUAUUGGUUGCCGUGUAUAAGGGAGAUGUAGAUGCUUCUUGAACAUUCUGCAUUUUUAGUUGCAUUUAACAGCAUUUCCUUUUUUGGGUGUAUGUUGCCUCUUGUUCACCUUUUAUCCUGGCAAACGCUCACGAUUCCUAUACACACAGAUCACCUUACUAAUUGAGAUUCUCAUCACAUGUCUUCAGGUUAUGGCAGUUUAAGUAUUGAUUUUUAUUACUAAUACUAUUAGUCAAUCAUCUGAAGCCUAACCCACUUUUCUUUACACAAACAGCAGCAACUUUCCUUCCAGUGUCUGUGUCUGACUCACACCAUUCCUGGGGGUUGGAUAAGGAGCGGAAAGUACACACUUUGACAACCGAGACCCCAGGCUGGAAUUGAGAGAUGCCAGCUGGGACAUUCAUCCUUGGAUUUGUAAACAGAUUAGUGAACCUUGGGAAUUUUAUGAGGACAUGACUGAGAGAGAGUAGGUCGAUCCAGGACCAUGCUGUCAUUUUUAUAGUCAGAAUUAGAGUGAGAUGGGACUUUAAAAUAGGAAUUUCUCUUUUCUCACCUUUCCUUCCAGUCUUCCUUUAAAAGCUACUUACAAAAAAAUUUUUUUUUUCCUUUGUAUUUGUGUAACCUUUUCUCCAGUUUAGUGGCCAGCUCUUAUUCCCAUCUCGUUAGAUUUCUUCUCAUCCUUUUAUGUGUCCAGCUAGGAAGCCUUCCUAAAUCACCCUCCCAGCAUCACAGCUGCUUUCUCCCUUUGAGAAACAAUAUACCGCUGGUUCUUCUGCUGCCUUUUUCUUCCCCCUGCAGCGUUACAUUCAGCAGAUACAAUUUCCAUGUCUAAGAAGUAAUCACCCUCCCAUUUUACAGACUUAGUUUCAUUUUGGUAGCUUUAAACCUGCGAACAAAACGAGUGACCUGGGUACUUCCUUGCAUUUGAGGACAGAGGCGAGUCUAUCUCCACGUGCUGGGCUUCCGCUGAGGCCAUCCCUCUCUGUCUGAGCUGACCCUGUAUCCUUUAUGCACUCGCAUAUUUUAGAAUUGUUGAAUGUCCGUUGAAUGCAGGAGGCCAUUACAUUUUGCAGGCAUCUUUCUGAGCAGUUAUUUAUACAUCCUAUGAAAACUUCAGCGACUUUUAUGACAAACAUUAUUUUAAAGGAACGAUGGUAACAAUGGCUAGUCAUUGAUUAUUUUCAUUGAAUGGUCCUCAUGCACCUAUAAGAUGGUCUAGUCUUUUUAGCAUUCUUUGUGAUGACUUGUUUAUCUUAAUUUCCAGUGUCCUGUUUUUGCUUGAAGGUUUAUAUUAGUCCUACAACUUAUAUUCUUUUGUUUACUCAUUUAGUACUCCUUUUUUUUUUUUUUUUAAUUCUUCUCAGUGUUACAUCAAAGAACAAACUGAUCAUGGAUGUUCAGAGCUCUGGUUCCAGAGUCUGAAUGCCUGUGUUUAAAACCCAUCCUUAGAGUUCCCGUCAUGGUGCAGUGGUUAACGAAUCCGACUAGGAACCAUGAGGUUGUGGGUUCGGUCCCUGCCCUUGCUCAGUGGGUUAACGAUCCGGCGUUGCCGUGAGCUGUGGUGUAGGUUGCAGACGCGGCUCGGAUCCCGCGUUGCUGUGGCUCUGGUGUAGGCCGGUGGCUACAGCUCUGAUUAGACCCCUAGCCUGGGAACCUCCAUAUGCCGCAGGAGCGGCCAAAGAAAUAGCAACAACAACAACAAAGACAAAAAGACAAAAAAAAAAAAAAAAAAAAAAAAA
rnacentral:lncRNA from 1 species